UACGUAGGGGGCUAGCGUUGUCCGGAAUCAUUGGGCGUAAAGAGCGUGUAGGCGGUCCGGUAAGUCCGCUGUGAAAGUCGGGGGCUCAACCCUCGAAUGCCGGUGGAUACUGUCGGGCUAGAGUGCGGAAGAGGCGAGUGGAAUUCCUGGUGUAGGCGGUGAAAUGACGCAGAUAUCAGGAGGAACACCUAUUGCGAAGGCAGCUCGCUGGGACGUUACUGACGCUGAGACGCGAAAGCGUGGGGGAGCAAACAGG
rnacentral:rRNA from 1 species